rnacentral:rRNA from 1 species
AGAGUUUGAUCCUGGCUCAGGACGAACGCUGGCGGCGUGCCUAAUACAUGCAAGUCGAGCGGACCGGAUCGGAGCUUGCUCUGAUUUGGUCAGCGGCGGACGGGUGAGUAACACGUGGGCAACCUGCCCGCAAGACCGGGAUAACUCCGGGAAACCGGAGCUAAUACCGGAUAACACCGAAGACCGCAUGGUCUUCGGUUGAAAGGCGGCCUUUGGGCUGUCACUUGCGGAUGGGCCCGCGGCGCAUUAGCUAGUUGGUGAGGUAACGGCUCACCAAGGCGACGAUGCGUAGCCGGCCUGAGAGGGUGACCGGCCACACUGGGACUGAGACACGGCCCAGACUCCUACGGGAGGCAGCAGUAGGGAAUCUUCCGCAAUGGGCGAAAGCCUGACGGAGCGACGCCGCGUGAGCGAAGAAGGCCUUCGGGUUGUAAAGCUCUGUUGUGAGGGGCGAAGGAGCGCCGUUCGAAGAGGGCGGCGCGGUGACGGUACCUCACGAGAAAGCCCCGGCUAACUACGUGCCAGCAGCCGCGGU